rnacentral:SRP_RNA from 1 species
UGGUCCCUUCGUGACGACUAAUUGUUAACUCCGCCAGGCCUGGAAGGGAGCAACGGUAGCAGGGACGUCGGGUGCGAGGGUGUGCUG